rnacentral:sRNA from 1 species
CUGCGAUCGGAGCGGCAAUGUAAAGGGCAGUGUCGGCAUUUUUGCGUCUGUUAUUGCGGUCACUCUGCCAUUGUUAGCUUGUAGUUGGAUGAGUGUGGUGGACAAUGGAGCCGGUCCCGACAACUGCAGUUGGAUUUUGUUGUUGUUGCUGCAGUGGUGGCUGCUGUUGUUCGUGCUGGUCCAGCCCCAGGUGUUUUUGCUGUUUAUCAUUUGUCAUUUCCAGUACCAGUCUUUUCUAGAAGCGAAUGAG